rnacentral:rRNA from 1 species
UACAGAGGGUGCAAGCGUUAAUCGGAGUUACUGGGCGUAAAGGGCGCGUAGGCGGUUAUUUAAGUUGGAUGUGAAAUCCCUGGGCUUAACCUAGGAACUGCAUUCAAAACUGGGUAACUAGAGUACUGUAGAGGGUAGUGGAAUUUCCGGUGUAGCGGUGAAAUGCGUAGAGAUCGGAAGGAACACCAGUGGCGAAGGCGGCUACCUGGACAGAUACUGACGCUGAGGCGCGAGAGCGUGGGGAGCAAACAGG